rnacentral:rRNA from 1 species
UUUGACAACUCUAGAGAUAGAGCCUUCCCCUUCGGGGGACAAAGUGACAGGUGGUGCAUGGUUGUCGUCAGCUCGUGUCGUGAGAUGUUGGGUUAAGUCCCGCAACGAGCGCAACCCUUAAGCUUAGUUGCCAUCAUUAAGUUGGGCACUCUAAGUUGACUGCCGGUGACAAACCGGAGGAAGGUGGGGAUGACGUCAAAUCAUCAUGCCCCUUAUGAUUUGGGCUACACACGUGCUACAAUGGACAAUACAAAGGGCAGCGAAACCGCGAGGUCAAGCAAAUCCCAUAAAGUUGUUCUCAGUUCGGAUUGUAGUCUGCAACUCGACUACAUGAAGCUGGAAUCGCUAGUAAUCGUAGAUCAGCAUGCUACGGUGAAUACGUUCCCGGGUCUUGUACACACCGCCCGUCACACCACGAGAGUUUGUAACACCCGAAGCCGGUGGAGUAACCUUUUAGGAGCUAGCCGUCGAAGGUGGGACAAAUGAUUGGGGUGAAGUCGUAACAAGGUAGCCGUAUCGGAAGGUGCGGCUGGAUCACCUCCUUU